rnacentral:rRNA from 1 species
UACAGAGGUCUCGAGCGUUAGGCGGAAUCACUGGGCUUAAAGCGUGUGUAGGCGGAUCGGUAAGUACCUUGUGAAAUCCCACAGCUUAACUGUGGAACUGCUUGGUAUACUGCCAGUCUUGAGCCACUUAGGGGCUACCGGAACAAAUGGUGGAGCGGCGAAAUGCGUAGAUAUCAUUUGGAACGCCAAUGGUGAAAACAGGUAGCUGGGAGUGUGCUGACGCUGAGACACGAAAGCCAGGGGAGCAAACGGG